rnacentral:misc_RNA from 1 species
AACGAGGCCGACCUGCGGCUGAGUUACCUGCGGAGGGAUCAUUACCGAGUGCGGGCUUACCCCCCCCGGGGGGCGCCCAACCUCCCACCCGUGUCUACCUGACCCUGUUGCUUCGGCGCGGCCACCGCCCGCCGGAGGCCCCUACCACGAACUCUUGUCUGAGCGUGAUGCAGUCUGAGUAUGGAUUUUGAAUCAGUCAAAACUUUCAGCAAUGGAUCU